rnacentral:rRNA from 1 species
UGGGGGAUAUUGCACAAUGGGCGAAAGCCUGAUGCAGCGACGCCGCGUGGGGGAUGAAGGCUUUCGGGUUGUAAACCUCUUUCGCUAUCGAACAAGGCCCGCUUAGGGUGGGUUGAGGGUAGGUGGAGAAGAAGCGCCGGCUAACUACGUGCCAGCAGCCGCGGUAAUACGUAAGGCGCGAGCGUUGUCCGGAAUUAUUGGGCGUAAAGGGCUUGUAGGCGGCUUGUUGCGCCUGCUGUGAAAACGCGGGGCUUAACUUCGCGCGUGCAGUGGGUACGGGCAGGCUUGAGUGUGGUAGGGGUGACUGGAAUUCCAGGUGUAGCGGUGGAAUGCGCAGAUAUCUGGAGGAACACCGAUGGCGAAGGCAGGUCACUGGGCCAUUACUGACGCUGAGGAGCGAAAGCAUGGGUAGCGAACAGG